AGUUCCUACCUCUAGGUUCUGGCCUUGAAUCCCUGUCCUGACUUCCCUGGACGAUGGAAUACAAGCUGAGAUGAGAAGCCGUGGAUUCAUUCCAGAUUAAAGAAAAUCAGCUUUGAUUGGGGAAGACUCCCUGAAAUCCUGGCUACAAAAAGAGAAGAAGAAGAAGAAGAACUACAAGACAUUUUAUGUAUUUUCAGAACAAGGGGACCACACACCAAUGAAAACAGGUAGCCCAGAUGAUCCAGCAUCUCAGAAUGCCUCUGUUACAGUCUCCUCAGAAUUCUGCAUCCAAAACAGCUUCUAGGCUGCUGGCUGAGAUGGACCAACCUCACAAACUACUCCAGCCAAGACCUAACAAUUAUCCUGAAUUUCUCAAGGUUCCCCAAAGAUACCAGUGCUCCAGACAACAGGAAGUAGUCUAAAGAAUGACACCCACAUGCCCAAAAUAUUGGUGUGUAUGUUUGUUAUUAUUUAAGCGGGGGAGGUGGUUACAAGCUGUUAUUGGUAAUGGUCAGAAAAAAAAAAACUGAACAAAGGAUCUUAUUCUGAAAAGAAAAAGGGUAGAUUAUUGAAUCUACUUUAAUCCAAAAAACAACUAUUAAUCUCAAAAUAUUUUACAGUGGUAUGGAUUUUGGUUUAUUGAUACAAAUUUAAAGUUAAUUUUGUUAUACUGUAUGUAUGUUUCUACUCUUAUUUGGGGUAUUGUGCUUAUACAACUCAUUUAAAAAUGUAAUGUAUAAGCCAGGCGAUGGUGGUGCACGCCUUUAAUCCCAGCACUCGGGAGGCAGAGCCAGGCAGAUCUCUGUGAGUUCAACGCCAGCCUGGGCUACCAAUGAAUUCCAGGAAAGGCACAAAGCUACACAGAGAAACCCUGUCUUGAAAAACCAAAAAAAAAAAAAAUGUAAUGUAUAAUUAAGAAAUAUAGAUUAAUAGUCAUCUAUAAUAGUCAAACUUAUAGUCGUGUAUGUUUUCAAGGUGAUGCACGGAUAUAUUUAGAUAGAUAGAUUGUCUUCAAACACUUCAAAGACCUACAAAAUAUGCCAUUUAAUUUGUUUAAUAACCUAAGGCCUUUCGUGACGGUGAGACACGGCUGCUCCUGGCAGCACUGAUCUACUACAGAGAAGAUGAUGGGCAUUGAAGGAACUACAUAUGGAGUUUACUUUCUUUAUAGCCAAAGCUAGUCAUUUGGGCAAAAAAAACCUGCUCUUGCCUCAAUUGCUGACAGUAUACUGUCCACACUGGACCAGCAGGAUGCAAAGAAAGUGACUGCUAAACUUUGCCAAGACAAGGAAGGACAGUCCUUCAAGAUGUCCCUGUAGGCAAAGUUUCUCUCCUGUUCCCAAAUACCCACAAGCCACUUCCCAAAUAAUUGACUCAGAGGCUUAAUAUUACUAACUAGUUCUUAGACUUAAAUUAACCCAUAAUUCUUAUCUAUGUUUAGCCAUGUGGCUUAGUAAUUUUUUCAGUAGGGCAUUCUCAUGUUAAUUCCUCUGUAUCUAGCUGUCAGGAAAUACAGGCAGAGUGACCAGACUAGGAGAAUUCUGGGAAGAGGAAAGGCAGAGAUGGGGUUGUCAGUCAGAUACAGAGGAAUUAACAUGAGAAUUAGACUGAGAAAAGGUACCAAGCCAUAUGGCUAAACAUAGAUAAGAAUUAUGGGUUAAUUUAAGUGUAAGAGCUAGUUAGUUAUAAGCCUGAGCAAUAGGCUAAACAGUUUACAAUUAAUAUAAACUUCCAUGUGUUUAUUUGGGACUGAACAGCUGUGGGACCAGGAGGGACAGAAACUUCCAUCUAUAAUUCCCUACUUCUCAAAAAUGUCUAUCAGAUAUGCCAGGCCUGAAGGCCAAAGAUGGAUGCCCCAGUGUUACAGAAGAACGUUCAGUGACUGUCCAGGCAGCCUGAUGACCCUGUUGUUAGGUAACAUUUCACCCUUCUGGGAUCUUUGAUGGAGUUAAAGACUAAAUAAUAAGACUUAAAGUUUUCCUUCGUUAUGAUAAAAGGUAAACUAGGUAUAAAACUUUAGAUUCACAAAGAUAAGAUAAAUAAUACUUUCUCUAAUUUUGCCAAAUACAAAUGGAUUGGAUAUUAUAACUGUGAUUCUUACCUGAUUACUAUUUUUGUUGUAUGUAAUCUUACUAUGUUAAAGCUAACCUUCCUUUUUAAUUAGACAAAGAUGGAAAAAUGCUUUAGGACAAUCUUUGUACACCGGAAAUAUGUAUUACUCUCAUUAGUUAAUAAAGAGUUGACUGGCCUAUAGCUGGGCAGGAGAGAUUAGAUGAGAGAGCCAGACUAGGAGGAUGCUGGGAAGAAGAAGGGCAGAGUCUGAGGAGUCUAGAGUCAGACGCAGAGGAAGCAGGACGUGUAGAAAAUGAGGUAACAAGCCAUGAGUCACUUGGUAGAAUUUAGAUAAGAAAUAUGGGUUAAUUUAAAAUGUAAGAGUUAGCUAGUAAGCAACCUGAGCUAUUGACCAAGCAUUUAUAAUUAAUAUUAAGUGUCGGUUAUAUGGGAGUGGCUGCUGGGACAGAAAAUGUCUGACUGCACAGAGAAAUACACCAACUUACUUACAUAGGCAGAAUCACAUCAGACCUCCGACCAGCAAUCCUAAAAGCCACAAAAGCAUUGAAUGGUGUGUUUCAAGCCCUGAAAGCAAAUAACCACCAAUAAAGAUUCAGCAAGGACAGCUUUCAAAUUGACAAAAUAAACAGGAAAAAGCAAAUUCUCAUUCAAUGUAAAUAAUGUCUAAUUGGGUAUUCUGUCUUGAGAAGUAAUAAGCUACCCACCAAUAACAACAGCCAAGCAAAGCUUGUGCCAUGCACCUCACUGUGGCAUGCACCUCACCAACAACUCCAGCUAUUUGAGAGGCCACAGUGGGAGGAACACAAGUUUAAAGCCAGCCUGGGCUACACAUUGAGAACCUGAAGAGUAAAUUAUUAUAAUAAAGUAAAGUGAAUGAACAAUAUCAGGGAAACCUCUUAGGAGAAUUUAUCUAGGUCCUGCUAAUUUUUUGUUGCCUUUGUGAGUGGUGUUUGCUUUUUUAUUUUGAUCUUUAUCAUUUUAGUUACCUGAGUCUGCUGUUCAAUAUGUGCAUUGAGGGCAUUGCUUGUACCAGGCACUGUUUCUGCCAACAUAAUUCUGAGCCAACCCAUGCAUCUGAGCCACCUACACCACCUCAUACAUAGGAGCUCCCGCUACCACACCCUUCCCAUAUCUCAGAAAUCUUUGUGCAUUUUUAUGUCCUAUGGGGCUUCAGGAUGGAUAGUGGUCAGCCUCCCAGGCACCUGACUCAUCCUGCUCAGACAGAAAACAUAAGUGCAUUCACUGCAGAGAUGGCGUUCUUCAAAGUGGCAUUUUCUGCAGUUGGCGCUUAGCCUGUCAGGAAGAUUUAAGCUGGGAGAUGGGGGUGAGGGGCUCAUAUCCAAAUAGUAGUUUCUGCCUAGGUAUAUGAUCAUUGUUUCAAAGAAACAUGUUAAUUAAAAAAAAAAAAAAAAAAAGACGCCGGGCGAUGGUGGCGCACGCCUUUAAUCCCAGCACUCGGGAGGCAGAGCCAGGCGGAUCUCUGUGAGUUCGAGGCCAGCCUGGUCUACGGCGCGAGAUCCAGGAAAGGCGCAAAGCUACACAGAGAAACCCUGUCUCGAAAAAGAAAAAAAAAAAGGAAAAAAAAAAAAAAAAGACAUGUCAUGGCCAGUGGUGACUGUUUUAAUUUCAAUGACAAUGUGUGAAUACUGCCAGAUCCAUGAAAUAUUAAUUAAAAUUGAUGUUUACACAGUCAUUAACAUUGAAACCAAAUGACAUUUUUGAGAAUAACUGCCAACCAAGAUUACUACAUCCAGCAUUGUCAACUUUAAAAUCAACAUCUUACUUUUUACCUUCUACCCACUGACUUCAUUUGAACUAGAGUGCUUGUGGGGGUGAGGAAGACCUGGUGGGGACCAGUGUGUCAAUGGAAAAAAGAGCACAGGGCCCAGUAAACCAUGGUCACCAUUAGUGACUGCUGACAACUUCCCCACAGAAUGUAAAGCCACCCCAAGACAAAGGUGAAUAGUGGUUCCCAACCUAUACUUCACAUUAGAUACAUAUACACAUACAAUAUGCAUGCCCCAUGUGGCAGAAGCAUUAACAAUACAAAUAGUUCCAUUCCUUCCAUCUUUUAUUCUUCACACCUUUGGGAAUUGAACCAAGGCCUUUACACAUUCUAGACAAGUAUACUACCACUGAGCUGUGUUACCAGCCCUACUCACCCUGCGCUUAAGAACUCAAGCAGAUUGUAUUUUCUCAAUCAACUGGCAUCAACUAUGGCAAUGAGAUUUGCUUUGCCAAUGGAUAUGAGCAUAAGUGUAUACAGUUACUCCUGGAUAAGAAAUGUAAGAGCUCGGGGGCAGUUCUCUGAGUUCUCUUCCUCUACCUCAUCAAGUAAUAAUAUCUCAAAGACUACAACAUCCACAGGCAUGUUCCUGGUCCAAUGCUUUAUAUAGUCUCCCUUGUCUGGCAUGGACCAGGGGUGAAAAGUAAACUUCGGAUGUGUCACUGGAUUGUGCUUUUGUUUGGGGUUUGGUUUGUAUCAAACAUCAUUUAUCAGUGCAAACCAAGUCCUUUAUCUGUUGUUCAGCUGAUCUAAUCUAUUAUGAUCUUUGGGGAAAGUUCUCAGUAAUAUACUUAGUAACAUAGUACAUAUAUAGGGCCACACAUUACUGCAGAUUUAAAUGAUUUGGGACUGUAUUUUGUUUCACACAAUCUUUACCUUAAACUUACAUUUUAGGAUCUCAACACUGAUGUGACUCACCUGUGCUGGCAACAGGAAAAUACCUUUGGUCUGCAUACAUCCUCCAAAUGAACAGGGUCUUUCUGCACCCACACUACUGAUGAGAAAAUAAGAACUAAGCAUCUCACUGGCUAGCCUCAGCUUAGGCAGGAUAAAGCUUACCAGUAGCUGCUUCUUAGCUUCCAAACCCUGUGCUGCUUUCCAAUUUAAUUUUGUAAGGGAAUCCCUGAGAACUUUGUUCACAUGUUAGGUGAUCUAGGCCUCCCACUGAGAAAUUCUUACUUAUUGGGCCCAAAGUAGAGAAACAUAUUUUUACGGUCUAUUUAUCAUAGACAAACCUACAAAUCCCUUAAGCCUUUACACGCACUAUAAUGCACUCUCCCUACAGAAAAGAAUGGCCGCUGCCUUCUUGAUUCAGCCUUUUAACAUCUGGAAUUAUUGGGUCACAACUAUUGAAACAAUCUCUCACUAAGUUAAUGACUUCCGAAAAUAUGGGAUGAACAGCAUAAGUUAAAGAAACAAACAGCCUCACAAAGAGUAGAAGAAAGACGACCUCCAGAGAUGCAGGGGACGACGCAGGGGACGGUGUUAGAGAACAGUGAAACCUGUGCCAUGAGUUAGUCCCAACGAUCUAAUCUAUCUUGAGUGAGUCCACAAAAGAUUCAGUUUCUGGGAGAAAACCUGGCUGCCCUUGAUUGCCGUGUCCUCAUUGGAGGAAAAGGCAUCUUAUUGGCAAAGACUCUAUAUACACAAAGUGAAAACACUGCCCAAGAAUAAGUCAGAGGACUGCUUCCCACCUAAGGGGGAAGCUGGCCAUUGGAAGCUCAAAGACAGAAUGGCCAGCCAUGCAGCCACUCUGCCGUGAGGCACCUGUACAACCCACAAUGAAAUUCCUUCCUCUGACACUGGAACUUUGUCACUAGUGGGCUGCUUGAUAUCCUUUUAUAAAGACAUGGCAACCUCACAAAUUUGAAUCUCUGGCAUCUACUUAAAGGUGUUUAUCUGUGUGCCUGUGUUUAGGUGUGUGUGCCCAGAUGAUAGCACAUAUGGCCAAGGAGUCAAGAGAUGACACAGAUCCCCUGAAAGUUAUAAGCAUCUGUGAGCCACCUGAUGGAGGUGGUAGAAACCAAACCAAGGUCCUGUGCAGGAGCAGUACUCAAUGAUUGACAGCCAAGCUAUUCUUCCAGCCCUACAACUUCUCUUUAAAAAAAGGAAUUUUAUAAAAAAGGAGCAAUUAAACAUAUGUAGUUUAUAUACACUCCAUAGUUUAUGGUUGACUAUGGAAUACAAAUUACUGCAGGAAAGUUGAACAAACCGAGUGGUCAGCUCACAAAAACAAAGAGCAUCAUAACGAGCUUUGUUUAGAGGAAGAAGGUAAAAUGAAUAGUCUUGUAUCUACUGAGUAAACUAAACCCAUGCUUUACAAGUCACAACAAUUUUUUAAAACCCUCUAAGGUCAGAAGGCUUCAUAAGUAAAUUCUGACAAAAUUUUAGGGAGGAAACAGUGCCAAUUCUACUUUCAAAAAUUCCAAGUGGUCCAGGAGUAGUGGCACACACCUGUGGUCUCAGUACUCAGGACAUGGAAGCAGGAGGAUCGUGAGUUGAAAGAUGUUUGGGGCUAUUUGACGAGUUCAAGGCUAGCCCAGACUACCUUGCUGUGGGAUGGUCUGUAUGUCAAAUGUGUUGCUGAUUGGUCAAUAAAUAAAUCACUGUUUGGCCAUUGACUAGGCAGGAAGUAUAGGCAGGACAAGGAGGAGAAUAGAGCUGCGAAGUGGAAGGCUGAGUCAGAGAGACACUUCCAGCCGCCAUGAUGAGAAACAGCAUGUAAAGAUGCCGGUAAGCCAUGAGCCAUGUGGCAAGGUAUAGAUUAAUGGAAAUGGAUUAAUUUAAGCUGUAAGAACAGUUAGCAAGAAGCCUGCCACGGCCAUACAGUUUGUAACCAAUAUAAGUCUCUGUGUUUACUUGGUUGGGUCUGAACAGCUGUGGGACUGACAGGUGAGAGAGAUUUGUCCUGACUGUGGGCCAGGCAGGAAAACUCUAGCUACACUACCUAGUAAAACACUUUUACAAAAACAAAGAUAUUAAAUGAACAAUAACAUUUGCUGACUCAUUCUAUGAUGACAGAAUUACUCAGAUAUUAAAAUCAUGUAACACAUUAUAAAAAGAAAAACUAAGAAAUUUUCCCAUAAAUAGAUAUAAAGCUCUUUGACAAAAUUCUAGGGAAUAUAAUAAAGCAAUACAUAAAUGUAAUUUUAUGACCAAAUAAGAAUAAUCAUGAAAAUGCAAAGUUUGUUUAACAUUUUAAAUCAGUCCAUGUGAUUAUUUAUAUUAAUGUAAUGGGAAAAAAUCAAACCAUAAUCAUUUCAACAGGAGCAGAAAGAGAAUAAAAGACUAAAGAAGAAAUUUGGUUCCCAGCACCCACAAUGGGCAGCUCACAAACCACCUGCAGCUCCAGGGAGCCGGGUGCCCUCUUGCACCCUCUGGCACUGGCACACAUGUGCGUAUGCACAGGCAGAUACACAGCUUCAUACAUAAAACAACAUCAAAAAUAAAAAGGAAAAUACACAGUCAUGUGCUAUGUAAUGAAGUGACAGUUAUUGAAACAUCAGUGGUCCCGUAAGAUUAUAACGGAGGUGAGAAUUUUCUAUUGCUUAAUGAUGUCUUAGUCUUUGUAACACUGUACUGUAACAUUUUAAUCACAUGUUUGUGGAGAUGCUGUGUAAACAAACCUACCUGACUGCCAGCUAUAGAUAAAAGUAUAACGUACAAUUAUAUACAGCACAUAAUGCUUCAUAGUGAUAAUAAACAGCUGUGUAUGCAGGAUAUUAUACAUUUUAUCAUUGUGGACUAUACCUGUGUGUCGCUAGAGUUUUCCUGCCUGGCCCACAGUCAGGGCAAAUCUCUCUCACCCGCCAGUCCCAAGCCGCUCAAACCCGAUCAAGUAAACACAGACACUUAUAUUGGUUACAAACUGUAUGGCCAUGGCAGGCUUCUUGCUAACUGUUCUUACAGUUUAAAUUAAUCUAUUUCUAUUAAUCUAUACCUUGCCACGUGGCUUGUGGCUUACCGGUACUUUACAUCUUCCUUAUCCUGAUGGCGGCUGGCAGUGUCUCUCUCACCCAGCUUCCUGUUCUCUCAAUUCUCCUCUCUGUUAGUCCCGCCUAUACUUCCUGCCUGGCCACUGCCAAUCAGUGAUUUAUUCAUUGACCAAUCAACAACACAUUUGACAUACAGACCAUCCCACAGCACCUAUGUGAAACAGAACACAGUGCCAUACCAGCCACACACAUCUUCAUUGCACUGAAGCCACACCAAAUGACUGGCCUACCCCAUCUGUGUUUGUAUAUGCACACAUGAUGUUCACAGAAUGCAGGAACUCUCUAGUGAUGAAUUUCUCCAAAUGUGUCCCAGCCAUUAAGCAGCAUGAAACUACAUCAUGUGGACAACAACUAUAAGAAAGGUAGAAUGACUGUACCAGUGACAGAAAAACUAACCCAUGUAACUGAAUGUUGCAGCACACAAAGAGGGAUAUUUUAAAACAACAGAGGGGUUUUCACUCCAUCUGAAAAUAUAAUAACCAUAAGCAUUCAUGCACCUAACAACAGAACACCAAAAUACAUGAAGCAAAUAUUUCCAGAAAUGAGAGAUACAUAGGAAAUUAGCAAUAGUAGAACCUCUAGCACUCUCCUUUCAAUAAUGGAUAGAACAGUUAGGCAAGAGAUCAGCAUGGAAACUGGGGGCUUGAAGACACCUACAGAUCAACUAGACCUUUUAGAAUAGACUCUUCUUGAAAACAAUGUAGCAUUGUGAGAGACGAUCUCUAAGAUACAUUGUGUGUUAAGACCACAAAACAAGGCUUAAUACAAAUUAAUAGAAAAUACGAAGCAUGUCUUCAGAAUGCAGUGGGCUGACAUUAGAAAUUGAUAACAGAAAGAACUCUGGGAAACUCAGGAGUGUGUGGAAUUAAACAACGCACUCCUAAAUAGUGAACGGCUAAAGAGGGAAAUCUAAAUUGAAGCUAGAGAACAUUUUGCCAUGAAGGACAGUGAAGACACAGCACAUUUAAAUUCAUAGGACAUAAACUCAGCAAAAAUAAUAUUGAGAAGGGAAAAUAUGGUUGAAAAUGUCCACUUGAAAGUAAAAACAAUCUCAGAGCAGUCCCCCGAAUUCCUGCCUUAAAACCAGGGGAAAGAAGAGAAAAACCAAGCAUAGAGGGAAAAGAAGGAAGGAACUAGCAAAGGUUAGAGUAGAAGACACCAGAGAAAAGACGGUGAAACCAAAAGGUAAACUCUUUGAAAAUAGAUUUUAAAAAGAAAACUUUCACUAGAGAGAGCGGUGUCAAAUUCCUGGAUCACAAAUAUAAGAAAGAAAAUGACACCAAACACAAGAUGAUAGUUCUGACAGGAGGGCUCACCAAGAAAAGGGGCUUGCCGUGCAAACCUUAAGAUCUGAUCCCCGGAGCCCAACCACGUGGUGGAAGGAAAAAAACGCAACUCCACUAAGACAUCCUGUAACUUCCCCAUGCCCUCAGGCAUGCACGCAUGCACGCAAAAAUUAAUGGUAAUAAAAAUAGUUGAAAAAAAUUAACUACAAGAAAAUAGAAGGCUCCAAAGCACUCAAUAGAUGGGUACAUGUGGCAGCUGUCACCUUAUUUUCCUUAAUAGUAAGAGACAGAUGGCUGUUUGAAGUAAAAUUUACUAAAACAUUGCGUUGUGCGGGGGGUUAUAAACGUGGGUGUAAAAUUACAUGACAGUGUUAUAACAGGUAGUGUAUAAAGUCAUGCAGCUUAAGGCUCUCAUUGUUUCCGUCAAGCAGUGUGACACAAAAUGUAAGUCAAUGGUAAUAUGUCAAGAAUAAAGAUUGCCACCCUGAGAACAACCUCCAAAGACCUUUCAAAGAGGCACACGUAUAAAGGCAACAGAGAAAUGAAAUGGAAUAUUCCAUUCAGCCCAAAGAAUAUUUGCUAAUAUUAAUUAAUUUAUUAUUAUAAUAAAAUCGCUACACAAGUUAUCUAGAGUAGAUUAUUACUAUAUAGAGACAAUGAGAGGUAACUGUCUCAUGGGUCAGCAUAAGGAUCUCUGGCUGUGUGAACUUGGGCAUCCACAUUAACUCACUGAAUCUUAUGGAGAACAUUAAAACCCACCAAGAUAGAUGCCAUGAUGAUAACAUCAUAUACUACCUAAUUUACUGGAACACAGACAUUUCUCAAUAAGUAUUUAUUGAAUUAGUUCAGUAACAUGCAAACAAACACAACAGAUUUUUACAUGUGACUAGCACAGAAAAAAAAGCCUAUGAAAUAUUAGCUAUGUUUUUCAUUUUUACUAAAAAUCCACAAGGAUAAGCCAGGCCUAGUGAGCACACGGCUGUGAUUUUAGCUGAGGCAGGAGAAUCACAAGCUCCAACUCCAGUAGCAUGACAUGCAAAUAAAAAACCCUCACAAAUGUAGGUUGUAGUAACUUUCAAAAGACGCCAGGUGGCAUCAGAUAAUAAAAAUUAUUAGCACUUUAUAAUCCUCUCCAGGAGGCCAUUGUACUAUAAAUUGCAAAGUACAUAUAUUUAUGAAAUGUUAAGAUUUAGAUUUCCUAAGUCAAUGUACAAAUUUCAAACGCUUUUUUAGUUAUUCCCAGUUCAGCAUCAACUCCAUAUGGUGUAUCUACCUUUGCCCCAUCAAGCAAAAAUCAGGCCAAGGCUCACACAGUACAGGCUGUUUUGUUUUAGGCUCACCUCUCCCAGCAAGUAGGCAUUAACACAGAGUGAUAGAUGGGAAAACGGAAGCAUGGGGUCAAAAUUAGAACUCUUGUUUGUUUGUUUGUUUGUUUGUUUGUUUGUUUGUUUGUUUGUGAUGACAGGUGCCCUCUGUUCCUACACAUCUCACCUGACCACUCAGAGCUGUCUCAACGGUAGUACUUUUCCUACCUUUGUGCAUCAGAGUGGUCAAUGACAUGUGUGUUCUCUGACUCAAGGUAACUCUGGGAGGUAGGGACAGUCCUUAUCAUUUUCCGGGAGAGUAAAACAAAGUUCAAAGAGACAUGAUCACUUCCUCGGGGGCGGGGGCGGGGGAGAGCAUAUAUCCACAAGAUGCACCCUGGGUUCAAACCUGGGUUGUUUGUAUUCAGUGCCUGACUUUUUGUCCAUGUUGGUUUCCAUGUGAAAUCAAAUCUUACCUACAAUGAAGUGGAAUGGGUUAAUAUAUAUUCAGACAGGACGGAAAGGAAACUCAGAAACAGCUCUUAGCAUAUGUAAGGGGUGACAUGGCACACGGGUGGUAUUUCAAAUCAGUGAGGACGAAUGAUGGUCUUUCCAAUUGACUACGCCCUGACAGCAUACUCACUUCAUACCACACGCCAAGCUCCAAGUGGUCCAAAAUUUUUAUUUUAAAUAAUAAAAUACAUUUACCAAUAUUUCUACAUGUGCUAUAUAUCUUUACUCCCAAUUUCAUGGAUGUAUAUAUCUUGAACAUUACCCCCCCCCAAUUCCUCCCUUAAUCUCCACCUGGCCCAGGAUAUCUCCCCUCCCACUUAAAGUUCCCUUCCCCCUGCUUCUAACAAUCCACUGAGUCCAGUUAGUGUACGGUUACCUACUGGUACAUGGACAACCUACCAUAGACUACCCCUCAAAGACAAAUGACUCUCCUCCUGUGGCAGCCAUUAAACCAAGAGCUCCUCAGCCAGGGUGGAAGCGCAAGAACCCUUCCCACCUCCAUGUUGGGAUUUUUAAGUAGCUUAAUCUUGCCCUAGUCUAGGCGAAUGUCCAUAGCACAGUACUUCACGGUACCCUUACCCGUUCUCUGCCUCUUACAUUCCUUCUACCCACUCUUCUGAGAUGUUCCCCAAACCUUGAGGGGGGAUAGUUCAUACAGAUGUACCACCUACGGCUGAACACUCACAGUCAUUUCUUUUCAGCACUUAGAACAGUUCUGAAUCUCUACAUUAACCACCACCCACUAAUUCGAGAAGCUUCUCCCACCAAGGUUGAGUUACAUUCAUCUAUGGAUAAAAACACAGAUAUUUAAAAAGCAUUUGGCAACAUGACCAUUUAGUAAAACACCGAAAGUUUCCCCCUUGGACCUAUGACUUCCCCAGCCCAUGUACUUUGACUGUGUUUAGAGCUCCAGGCAUGAAUUCUCUCCUGUGACACAGGCCUCAAAUCCAAUCAAGACAACAGUUGACUGCCACCAUAAACAAUGUCACCACUGUUGCAGCAUCUUGACUGGUAGGUUAGUACUAUUGCAUUGCAUGCAGGGUCUGGUGCUUUGUUCUCCCAUCAGCCCACAUACCACCUUCCAACGCUAAAAAAAAAAAAAAAAGCUAAUCAAUAGGGAGAAGUUUCUGGUCGAUCAGGAUGGCUUUUCUAUGUCCUACGUCCAAUGUACUCUCACCCUAAACUUCCACUUCCAAUUAAUUACUCAUGCUGCUGGCUUCUUUCUAUUGCUGCUGCUUUGUUUUUGUUUUAAGACAGGGUGUUACUAUAUAGCCCAGGUUGGCAUUGAACACACAAACCUCCUGCCUCAACCUCAGGAGUGCUGAGAUUAAAGGCAUGUAUGACCAAGCCUUGCCAGCUGGCUUCUUAUUCAUGUUUGUUUUAUAGGUCAUUGUUUUCCCAACACUAUCUAACCCAUAAUCAAGUAGGAGAAAGAUCCAUGAACUAGAUCCUACACAACUCAACUGCAAUUAUGACCUCAGCUAUUCAAACUUUUGGGAGCUCAGUUAGUUUUCUCCUCACUAAAGAAGCUGACCUGGGUGGUCAAGAGUCCAAACUUCUAGGAUUCUCCUUCAACAGUCUCUCCUCCAUCAUCACAGUUAGAUGAAGGUAAUAAAUAACCACCCUUCUCCUGGGUUAGAUCAAGUAAGAUAGGAAAUAGAGAAGACAGAUAAAUAUUAAGCAAAGCCGUGUGGGGUUUUGUUCUGUUUUUUACUAGUGUGAAGAGUGUUGACAUGUCUGUAUGUAUGGCCACAGGAGCAUGGAAAUAUCUUCCUUCCCAUGACAGAGCUGAAUGUUCCCACCCAGCCAAAGACUCUCAGUCUCUCCUCACAGCAUGGCAGGGGGGAAGCGUAAGAAAGACUGCAGCACCCAGCCAGCAACCACGGCACUUUAGCCGAAGAGCUGGUUUCAUACAUGGAAUCUGAUCAUACAGUUCUCCAUUCCUCUCAGUAACUAGCCUCAUUCAAAGGUUUUCCCCUUUCCUUUAGGAAAAAAAAAAAAAAAAAAAAGCAUAAAAUUCUCUAAAACCAUCACCAUAUCUAUUCUGUGCAGCAUUUCCAGAUGAAUCAUCCAAAUGCAUGCCCUCACAGGGGUUGCUGCACAUAAUCUGAUCUAUGACUCAGGAAUCCUGAAGUCCUGGUUCCUUUACCUACAUGAAUAUGGGGGAAAUUUUCCUCUACCACUGUGUAAGAAAUGUUCAUCCACAGUACGGCAUGGUUAGAUGAUCCUUCUCUCUGUCAAUUCAAGUUUCAAAGACUUUAACUGUAGUCUAAAAUCCCUUAGUGUGCAACUGUCCCUAAAUGACUAGUGAAGAUGUGACGUCAUCCUCCAUGGCUUCCUAGUCUGUCUGGCAAACAGACUUCUAGCCCAUCUAGUACUCUCUUUCUUGCUUCAUCUACAUGGUAUCUCCACUCUCAACAGGGUUUUUCCAGCUGCUCUUUCCUCUAGGAGAUCCAUCAUAAACAGCACAUCUCUCUGAAGCCUCCUGGAUUUUUCCAGAGAGAAGUUACAGCAUGUUCAGGUGUAGAUAGGGAGCCUAUUUGUCACAUUCUCACUUGAGCCAGAGCUGUGCAAUGCCCAACUGUGUCUCUUCUCACUCUCCUGGGGGGCAUUUAUUUAACACAAGUUCUAAACAAUGGGCAAAGGUGUAAAAGGGAUGCAUGGCUAUUUCCAGGCCAGAUCUCCUUCCGGUUCUUCCCUACUCUGUUGUAGCAACUUGGCAGCUGUAUAACUAGAUGUCUGUUUCACAAUAUCAGUGACAUGAAAGACAUAGAGGACUACUGCUUGGUUGAGCAAGUGAUUUGUUACCACAGCACAGCACAGCCUGGUCUGACUUACCUGCAGAAAGAAGGCUGGGGGUCACAUGGCAAGGGCUAUUUUCUCAUCAGCAUACAGAGAUAGAUAGAACCAUGGUGCUGGCGGCCCAGAAUCUAUCUCAUAUAGUUAGGAGUUCAUACCAGUUAUCGUACAUAAAAUAGUUAAGGUAUAUAGUAACAAUUUAUUGCUACAUAUUGUUUUAUUUUAUAAAUCAUAUCAUAUGUCAUUAUUAUAUUAUUUUUAGUAAAUACCAAUGUAUUUUUUCCUUCCUAUUUUGGAUGCUUUAUUUUUUAAGCCAAAAAAAUCCCAGAUUUUCCAGCAGUUCUCAACCUAUGGGUCAAGACACCUUUUGGGGGAUCACGCAUCAGAUAGCCUACAUAUCAGAUGUUUACAUUACAAUUUAUAACAGUAGCAAAAUUACAGUUAUGAAGUAGCAACAAAAUAAUUUUAUGGUUGGGGUUCACCACAACAUAAGGAAAUAUAUUAAAGGGUUGCAGCAUUAGGAAAACUGAGAACCACUGAUUUAGACUAUGCACCUUAGGACCCACAAUAGGCUAUGGCAAGUUGCCCUCCUCCUCAUUAUUUGUUGAAUUUCAUGUCAUUUUUAACCACUUUCUAGCAACUUAAAGGACUUAACAAUUGGGGUUCUGGGAGCUUAGGUAACCUCCUUGAAGUUCUGUAAUAUAACUUGAAGCUAUAGCUUUAUUUUAAUAAAGAUUAAGACAAAUUAAAGGUCAGCUUGAGAAUGUUAGAAAUACUCUUGCCUUCUCUGUACAUUUUCUUAGAAUUUUGAUUUAUUUUAAACUUUAUUAUGGGGAAUGUCAGGAAUAUACAAACUGCAUACUAGUUAGUAUAUAGUAUAAUAUAAAUGAAUUCCCACUUAUCUGCCACCCAAAUUCUGCGAUUAACAAGGUUUUGCCCAAUUGCUUAAUAUACUUUUGUGGUUGUUAUUAUUGCUCAAAUAUUCAUUUGUAAUGAUUUCUUUUACUAUUGUUGUGUAUGUUAAAUCUAAUCUAUUCACUUUAGCAUGGAUCUCUUUAAAAUAAUAUGUUUUCAUGUAAUUACAUUGACAUUUUAUUAAAAAUUACCAAUUUCUAAUGUGAUCUUGUAAAAUUAAAAUAGCAAAA